rnacentral:rRNA from 1 species
CCUACGGGUGGCUGCAGUGGGGAAUAUUGGACAAUGGGGGCAACCCUGAUCCAGCCAUGCCGCGUGUGUGAAGAAGGCCCUCGGGUUGUAAAGCACUUUCAGUGAGGAAGAACGCCUGGUGGUUAAUACCCAUCAGGAAAGACAUCACUCACAGAAGAAGCACCGGCUAACUCCGUGCCAGCAGCCGCGGUAAUACGGAGGGUGCGAGCGUUAAUCGGAAUUACUGGGCGUAAAGCGCGCGUAGGUGGCUUGAUAAGCCGGUUGUGAAAGCCCCGGGCUCAACCUGGGAACGGCAUCCGGAACUGUCAAGCUAGAGUGCAGGAGAGGAAGGUAGAAUUCCCGGUGUAGCGGUGAAAUGCGCAGAGAUCGGGAGGAAUACCAGUGGCGAAGGCGGCCUUCUGGACUGACACUGACACUGAGGUGCGAAAGCGUGGGUAGCAAACAGGAUUAGAUACCCGAGUAGUC